GAUGAACGCUGGCGGCGUGCCUAAUACAUGCAAGUCGAGCGAACAGAUGAGGAGCUUGCUCCUCUGACGUUAGCGGCGGACGGGUGAGUAACACGUGGAUAACCUACCUAUAAGACUGGGAUAACUUCGGGAAAACGGAGCUAAUACCGGAUAAUAUAUUGAACCGCAUGGUUCAAUAGUGAAAGACGGUUUUGCUGUCACUUAUAGAUGGAUCCGCGCCGCAUUAGCUAGUUGGUAAGGUAACGGCUUACCAAGGCGACGAUGCGUAGCCGACCUGAGAGGGGGAUCGGCCACACUGGAACUGAGACACGGUCCAGACUCCUACGGGAGGCAGCAGUAGGGAAUCUUCCGCAAUGGGCGAAAGCCUGACGGAGCAACGCCGCGUGAGUGAUGAAGGUCUUCGGAUCGUAAAACUCUGUUAUUAGGGAAGAACAAAUGUGUAAGUAACUAUGCACGUCUUGACGGUACCGAAUCAGAAAGCCACGGCUAACUACGUG
rnacentral:rRNA from 1 species